CCUCAUGGCCUUUAUGCCCAGGGCUACACACGUGCUACAAUGGGCGGUACAAAGAGAAGCAACCUCGCGAGGGUGAGCAAAUCUCAAAAAGCCGUUCUCAGUUCGGAUUGAAGUCUGCAACUCGACUUCAUGAAGUCGGAAUCGCUAGUAAUCGCGGAUCAGCAUGCCGCGGUGAAUACGUUCCCGGGCCUU
rnacentral:rRNA from 1 species